rnacentral:rRNA from 1 species
CGUCUCAUGCCCAUUAACUAUAUGAGAUAAUGCCUGCCCGGUGAAUUAAGUAUUUAAACGGCCGCGUUAGCGUGAGCGUGCUAAGGUAGCGUAAUCAACUGCUUUUUAAUUGAAGGCCAGUGAAAGGCAACACAAAGAAUACCUUUAUUUAAUGUGUCAGAAAAACUUUACUUUCGAGUGAAAAGGCUCGAAUAACCGAAAAAGACAAGAAGACCCCGCGGAGCUAUUACUUAAACGCAACUAAACCUCCACUAAAGUUUCUGCUAAAAGUUUGGUUGGGGCAACCUUGGAACAAUCAGAGCUUCCAAUUUUUCACAAACAUCCAUUCAAAAUUUAUUAUGGACCAAAAAGGAGCUACCCCGGGGAUAACAGCGUAAUCCAACUUGAAAGGACUUAUCGAAAGUUGGGUUUGCGACCUCGAUGUUGGCUUAGGGUAAUCCACAUGGUGCAGCCGCUAUGCCAGGAUAGUCUGUUCGACUAUUAUAACCCU